ACACCUACGGGAGGCAGCAGUCGGGAAUAUUGGGCAAUGGSCGAAAGCCUGACCCAGCCAUGCCGCGUGCGGGAAGAAGGCCUGCGGGUCGUAAACCGCUUUCAGCGGGGACGAUGCGUCUCCGGGUGAACAGCUCGGGGACGUGACGUUACCCGCAGAAGAAGCGCCGGCUAACUCCGUGCCAGCAGCCGCGGUAAUACGGAGGGCGCGAGCGUUGCUCGGAGUCACUGGGCGUAAAGCGUCCGUAGGCGGUCGGGUAAGUCGGGUGUGAAAGCCCCGGGCUUAACCUGGGAAGUGCACCCGAUACUGCUCGACUCGAGUGCGGGAGAGGAUGGCGGAAUUCCCGGGGUAGCGGUGAAAUGCGUAGAUCUCGGGAGGAACACCAGUGGCGAAGGCGGCCAUCUGGCCCGUAACUGACGCUGAGGGACGAAAGCGUGGGGAGCAAACAGGAUUAGAUACCCUGGUAGUCCACGCCCUAAACGAUGAGCGCUAGACGUCGGGCGGCAUGCCGUUCGGUGUCGCAGCUAACGCAUUAAGCGCUCCGCCUGGGGAGUACGGCCGCAAGGUUAAAACUCAAAGGAAUUGACGGA
rnacentral:rRNA from 1 species